CCUACGGGAGGCAGCAGUGGGGAAUAUUGCACAAUGGGGGAAACCCUGAUGCAGCGACGCCGCGUGAGUGAAGAAGUAAUUCGUUAUGUAAAGCUCUAUCAGCAGGGAAGAAAAUGACGGUACCUGAGUAAGAAGCCACGGCUAACUACGGGCCAGCAGCCGCGGUAAUACGUAGGGGGCAAGCGUUAUCCGGAUUGACUGGGUGUAAAGGGAGCGUAGACGGCAGUGCAAGUCUGGAGUGAAAGGCGGGGGCUCAACCCCCGGACUGCUCUGGAAACGGUACGGCUUGAGUGCAGGAGAGGUAAGUGGAAUUCCUAGUGUAGCGGUGAAAUGCGUAGAUAUUAGGAGGAACACCAGUGGCGAAGGCGGCUUACUGGACUGUAACUGACGUUGAGGCUCGAAAGCGUGGGGAGCAAACAGGAUUAGAUACCCCGGUAGUC
rnacentral:rRNA from 1 species